UUUAUUUUUUGGGUUUCAGUUUGCAUGGCCAGAAACAAAAGCUCUGUCCACCCACCGAAAGUCUAUAUCCUGAUAAUCAUCGUCGUCGCUGCAUAUAUUCAUAUAUAUUCUGAAUAGGAGAUUUUUCUCCAAAUUUCGUGACCACAGCCUAAAAUAUCGGUUGGCCAACUUGCUCGCUCGUCUCCAUAUGGCCAGGCUAGCUUUGCGCUUUCAAUGUGUGAGCUUUACAAAAGCAGGGUCAGUGUCACAUUUUGUUGAUGCACCGUGAACGAGGAAUCUUCUCAAGAGAUCCGCAUUGUGCAGGAUAAUCCGGAAAACCAAACAAAGAAUGUGAUUAGCGCGUACCAUUGCUGGAAAAAUAGUGGGUGUUAGUCCUCUUGCUUCAAGUGGUUAAGCAUGGAAGAUAUGUGGGAGUAUAUGAACUAGAAGAGCAAAUCACCAUCUGAAUGUAUAUGCGCGAUCUCUUGGUUUGGUCCAUGUCACUUUGUGAAGGUGAAGAAUUCGAGUGGUUAAAGCAUGCUCAAUAUAUUGAGUCCUAACAAUUUGUUGGAAAAAACAUAGUUAUGCGAGGGAACAAGUAUGACUCCAGUCCCAUGACACCCAGAACUAGAUUGGAAAGGCUUCUGAGGGAAAGAGAGCUAAGAAAAUCUAGCCGGUUUUCCCAUCCUAGUGCAGAGGCAACAGAUGUUAACAAAGAGGCAGAGCUCCCUGCCAAUGACCCAUGUUCAGCUGAGGGUGAUCAUUCGGGUCUACCUAAUGAGGAAGAGCUAUUGGAAGGGGUUGCAGCUGCAAGAGCUUUUGCAGAUGGAUGUCAAAAGCAAGAUGUUCGGCCUCCUAAACAACGUUUAUUGGUGGUAGCCAAUAGGUUGCCGGUCUCUGCUACCAGAAGGGGCGAGGGCUUGUGGCAACUUGAGAUGAGUGUUGGGGGGUUAGUCAGUGCCCUUUUGGGACUGAAGGAGUUUGAUGCCAGAUGGAUUGGUUGGGCUGGUGUAAAUGUACCCGAUGAUGUUGGACGAAGAACACUUACUCAUGCCUUAGCUCAAAAGAGGUGCAUCCCAGUAUUUCUUGAUGAGGCGAUGGUUCAUCAAUAUUACAAUGGUUAUUGUAACAACAUCUUAUGGCCUCUUUUUCAUUAUCUUGGGCUUCCACAGGAAGACCGCCUUGCGACCACCCGUAGUUUCCAAUCUCAAUUUGAUGCAUAUAAGAAGGCAAACCAAAUGUUUGCUGAAGUGGUGAACCAACAUUAUGAGGAGGGAGAUGUUGUUUGGUGCCAUGAUUAUCACCUAAUGUUUCUUCCAAAAUGUCUAAAAGAAUAUAACAACAACAUGAAAGUUGGUUGGUUUCUUCAUACUCCCUUUCCCUCCUCUGAAAUACAUAGGACACUGCCUUCUCGAUCAGAGCUGUUGAGAUCUGUUCUUGUUGCUGAUUUAGUUGGUUUCCACACGUAUGACUAUGCAAGGCAUUUUGUAAGUGCCUGCACUCGCAUUCUUGGGCUUGAGGGUACACCUGAAGGAGUAGAGGAUCAAGGAAAGCUUACACGUGUAGCUGCGUUUCCUAUUGGGAUAGAUUCUGAACGAUUUAUUCGAGCUCUCGAACUGCCUCAAGUUAAGGAUCACAUGAAAGAACUGAAACAAAGAUUUGCUGGCCGAAAGGUAAUGUUGGGGGUUGAUCGUCUCGAUAUGAUUAAAGGAAUUCCCCAAAAGAUUUUGGCUUUUGAAAAGUUUCUUGAAGAAAAUCCACACUGGCGUGAUCGAGUAGUUUUGUUGCAGAUCGCAGUGCCAACAAGGACAGAUGUUCCAGAGUAUCAAAAGCUUACAAGCCAGGUUCAUGAGAUUGUUGGACGCAUUAAUGGAAGAUUUGGAACUCUGACUGCAGUUCCAAUACAUCAUCUGGAUCGAUCUCUUGACUUUCAUGCAUUAUGCGCACUCUAUGCUGUUACUGAUGUAGCACUUGUAACAUCUUUAAGGGAUGGAAUGAACCUUGUCAGCUACGAGUUUGUUGCGUGCCAAGCUUCCAAGAAAGGAGUUCUCAUUCUAAGUGAGUUUGCAGGUGCAGCACAGUCUCUUGGAGCUGGGGCUAUUUUGGUAAACCCAUGGAACAUCACUGAAGUUGCAUCUUCCAUUAGCUAUGCUUUAGAUAUGCCAGCGGAUGAAAGAGAAAAAAGGCAUCAGCAUAACUUUAAGCAUGUGACAACUCACACAUCUCAAGAAUGGGCUGCAACCUUUGUAAGUGAACUCAAUGAUACCAUUGUUGAAGCUCAACUUAGGACAAGACAGGUUCCACCAUUACUUCCAAUGAAAGAUGCAGUAGAUUGUUACUCGAAAUCCAAUAAUAGAUUGCUAAUACUAGGAUUCAAUUCUACCUUAACUGAAUCAGUGGAUGCUCUUGGGAGAAAUGGUCAAUUAAAAGAAAUCGAGCUUAAACUGCACCCAUAUAUAAAGGAGCCUUUAAAGAAGCUUUGUGAUGACCCAAAGACAACAAUUGUUGUCCUUAGCGGAAGUGACAGAACUAUCUUGGAUGAUAACUUCAAUGAAUACAACAUGUGGUUGGCAGCAGAAAAUGGUAUAUUUUUGCGUCCUACGAUGGGAGAAUGGAUGACAACAAUGCCUGAAAAUUUAUACAUGGAUUGGGUUGAGAGUGUAAAACAUGUUUUUGAGUAUUUUACUGAAAGAACACCUCGAUCUCAUUUUGAGCUUCGAGAAACUUCCCUUGUAUGGAACUACAAGUACUCAGAUGUUGAGUUCGGAAGGAUUCAAGCAAGGGAUAUGUUGCAGCAUCUUUGGACAGGUCCCAUCUCUAAUGCAUCAGUUGAUGUUGUCCAAGGCAGCCGGUCUGUUGAGGUCCGAGCAGUUGGUGUUACGAAGGGUGCAGCUAUUGAUCGUAUCUUAGGAGAAAUAGUUCGAUAUAAAGGCAUGAAGUCACCCAUUGAUUAUGUCCUGUGUGUUGGGGACUUUCUAACAAAGGAUGAAGAUGUUUAUACAUUUUUUGAGCCUGAGCUUCCUUCUGAAUCGCCACCUGCAGCAAGAGGCAUGCUAACCAACCUUGUCAGGGCAUCUGUGCCAAAGAUUCCAGCCAGUAAAAGUGCAUCCAAGUCGUCUCGCCUCAAGAAACAGCGUUCAAUGUCUACUUUAGAAAAGAGAGCAAUCAGUCACGGAAAUGAGAUUGUUUUGCAGCCUAUAAUGCAAGAUAGAAAGUCAAUGCGUGAGGGUUCUUCAGUACUUGAUCUCAAAGGUGACAAUUACUUCUCUUGCGCUGUUGGGCGAAAGAGAUCAAAUGCUCGUUAUCUCCUUGGAUCAGCCGAUGAUGUUGUGACUCUCCUAAAGGAACUGGUGCAGUGUCCAUCUAGCUGAUCACAUUGUGCCGACAGCAAUUAUUGCUGUGAAUCUGAAGGUUGAGAUGCUUGGGCAUGGUUAUGUUGUGGUGGUUGCCUGAUUUCCUCAUACAUGUGCAUAUAUCAAUCUCUUCGUCUACGGUGUCCAAGCGGCUAUAUAUUUUUUCUUGGUCCACAUAAGUUCAAGUUUUACUAAGUAUAGGAGCAUCAGGAUGAGCUUGAACAAAUUACAUUGAUACAAGAAAUAUUCAGACGAUAUUUUUCAUACAACACAAGAAACAAGAAAAGAAGAGAGGUUACAGGCUUGGUCACCACUUUCCAUGCAUAGAGAACAUUCUGUGCCUAAACAUCGAACCCCCCCUUUUUUUGGGUCUUGGAGAUCAAAAUAAGUAGAGUUGGUAUUCAGAGAGCACCCCACCAGGUUUGACUGUACUGAAACAGACCAUGUUGUUGUUCUGGUGCACCAAGACAUUCUCGUCCUUUCCCCUAUAUCCAUCUAUAGGGCAUGUACCUAAAGAUUGAGUCUGCAAAAUAAGAAGAUCUUACUGCAUGUCAUUGCUGAUGAAAGCUAUAUAGCUGGAAAGAUGGUCCUUUAAAGAACAGACAAACAAACUUGGAAAUGAAGAUUGUUGACAAGCAAGUGAAGUGAUGGAUGCUAAGAAGUGUGGGUAAUUAGAUAAAACGAGAGGCUCCGCUCAUGCCUUUUGGCGGAAAGGCAAAUGCUAAGAAUAUGGGGGGGUACCAGAAGCCGAGAGAGAUCGUUUGGGGAUAAGUUGAAUUGGCACAAAUGUCAACAACAAAAUAUGGCAUAGAUUGGCACAAAGUAGGCAAUUUUUUUGACUUAGCUUAUUAGCGCAUACACAAAGAAUGAAAGGAGUUAUAUUUAUUAUCUUUGCUUGAAUAAUAUUCCCUUCCGCAUGCCUUUGGAAUUGGAUUUGGUGGUCCUUUUGAGGCCAUACCAUUGGAUUUAGACCUCCACUUGAGAGGUUAAAAAAAAACUCCAUUCCACGUCAUCUAUGCACUCUACUCUACUCUACUCUAUUAUG